rnacentral:rRNA from 1 species
GAUGGACCCGCGGUGCAUUAGCUAGUUGGUGAGGUAACGGCUCACCAAGGCAACGAUGCAUAGCCGACCUGAGAGGGUGAUCGGCCACACUGGGACUGAGACACGGCCCAGACUCCUACGGGAGGCAGCAGUAGGGAAUCUUCGGCAAUGGACGAAAGUCUGACCGAGCAACGCCGCGUGAGUGAAGAAGGUUUUCGGAUCGUAAAACUCUGUUGUUAGAGAAGAACAAGGAUGAGAGUAAAACGUUCAUCCCUUGACGGUAUCUAACCAGAAAGCCACGGCUAACUACGUGCCAGCAGCCGCGGUAAUACGUAGGUGGCAAGCGUUGUCCGGAUUUAUUGGGCGUAAAGCGAGCGCAGGCGGUUUCUUAAGUCUGAUGUGAAAGCCCCCGGCUCAACCGGGGAGGGUCAUUGGAAACUGGGAGACUUGAGUGCAGAAGAGGAGAGUGGAAUUCCAUGUGUAGCGGUGAAAUGCGUAGAUAUAUGGAGGAACACCAGUGGCGAAGGCGGCUCUCUGGCCUGUAACUGACGCUGAGGCUCGAAAGCGUGGGGAGCGAACAGGAUUAGAUACCCUGGUAGUCCACGCC